GACGAACGCUGGCGGCGUGCUUAACACAUGCAAGUCGAGCGGUAAGGCCCUUUCGGGGGUACGACGAGCGGCGAACGGGUGAGUAACACGUGGGUGACCUGCCCUUAGCUCUGGGAUAAGCCUGGGAAACUGGGUCUAAUACCGGAUAUGACUCCAUAACGCAUGUUGUGGGGUGGAAAGCCUUGUGCGGCUAGGGAUGGGCCCGCGGCCUAUCAGCUUGUUGGUGGGGUGAUGGCCUACCAAGGCGACGACGGGUAGCCGGCCUGAGAGGG
rnacentral:rRNA from 1 species